AGGACGAACGCUGGCGGCGUGCUUAACACAUGCAAGUCGAACGAUGACGGAGAGCUUGCUCUUCUGAUUAGUGGCGAACGGGUGAGUAACACGUGAGUAACCUGCCCUUGACUCUGGGAUAAGCACUGGAAACGGUGUCUAAUACCGGAUACGAGCUUCAGCCGCAUGGCUAGGAGCUGGAAAGAAUUUCGGUCAAGGAUGGACUCGCGGCCUAUCAGCUAGUUGGUGAGGUAAUGGCCCACCAAGGCGACGACGGGUAGCCGGCCUGAGAGGGUGACCGGCCACACUGGGACUGAGACACGGCCCAGACUCCUACGGGAGGCAGCAGUGGGAAUAUUGCACAAUGGGCGAAAGCCUGAUGCAGCAACGCCGCGUGAGGACGACGGCCUUCGGUUGUAACCGUUCUUUAGUAGGAAGAAGACGAAGUGACGUACUGACAGAAAAGCACCGACUAACUACGUGCAGCAGCCGCGUAAC
rnacentral:rRNA from 1 species